GCUGGAAUCGCUAGUAAUCGCGAAUCAGCAUGUCGCGGUGAAUACGUCCCCGGGUCUUGUACACACCGCCCGUCACACCAUGGGAGUCGGAAAUGCCCGAAGCCAGUGACCCAACCAUAAGGAGGGAGCUGUCGAAGGUGGAGCCGGUGACUGGGGUGAAGUCGUAACAAGGUAUC
rnacentral:rRNA from 1 species